rnacentral:rRNA from 1 species
GAGUUUGAUCCUGGCUCAAGAUGAACGCUGGCGGCGUGCUUAACACAUGCAAGUCGAACGGAGAUAUCAUUUUCGAAGCGAUUAGUUUACUAAGAGUGGAGAUGUUGGUAUCUUAGUGGCGGACGGGUGAGUAACGCGUGGGUAACCUGCCUUACACUGGGGGAUAACACUUAGAAAUAGGUGCUAAUACCGCAUAACAGGAGAAGAUGCAUGUCUUUUCCUUAAAAACUCCGGUGGUGUAAGAUGGACCCGCGUCUGAUUAGCUGGUUGGCGGGGUAACGGCCCACCAAGGCGACGAUCAGUAGCCGGCCUGAGAGGGUGAACGGCCACAUUGGGACUGAGACACGGCCCAAACUCCUACGGGAGGCAGCAGUGGGGAAUAUUGGACAAUGGGGGGAACCCUGAUCCAGCGACGCCGCGUGAGUGAAGAAGUAUUUCGGUAUGUAAAGCUCUAUCAGCAGGGAAGAAAGAAAUGACGGUACCUGACUAAGAAGCCCCGGCUAACUACGUGCCAGCAGCCGCGGUAAUACGUAGGGGGCAAGCGUUAUCCGGAUUUACUGGGUGUAAAGGGAGCGUANACNGCGAUGCAAGUCUGAAGUGGAAGGCGGGGGCCCAACCCCCGGACUGCUUUGGAAACUGUAUAGCUGGAGUGCANGANANGUAAGUGGAAUUCCUAGUGUAGCGGUGAAAUGCGUAAAUAUUAGGAGGAACACCAGUGGCGAAAGCGGCUUACUGGACUGUUACUGACGUUGAAGGUCC